GACGAACGCUGGCGGCGUGCCUGACACAUGCAAGUCGGACGGUUCUUGUAUCUUCAAGCUUGCUUGCAGGUGCAAGGAUAGUGGCGGACGGGUGAGUAACGCGUGAACAUCUACCCAUUGGAGGGGGACAACCCGUCGAAAGGCGGGCUAAUACCGCGUAAGCCGCGAGGUGAGAGGCUGCCUAUUGGUGGCCGCCGAUGGAUGGGUUCGCGUCCUAUCAGCUGGUUGGUGGGGUAACGGCCUACCAAGGCGAAGACGGGUAGCCGGUCUGAGAGGAUGGCCGGCCACACUGGAACUGAGACACGGUCCAGACUCCUACGGGAGGCAGCAGUGGGGAAUAUUGGGCAAUGGGGGAGACCCUGACCCAGCGACGCCGCGUGAGGGAUGAAGGUUUUCGGAUCGUAAACCUCUGUUGUACGGGAAGAAGGAUGUGACGGUACCGUACGAGUAAGCCCCGGCAAACUACGUG
rnacentral:rRNA from 1 species